ensembl:lncRNA
CAGAUUCCCUUCCCCACCCAACCACCUCCCUAUCGUAAACCAUGCAUAAGUUCAAGAUCCCUGGAGCCACAAUGAAGUGGGGAAGGAAGGAAAGGGAACCUAACUAGUGUGUUUAUGGGAGGGAGUGGGAGAGCUUGCCCUAGUUCCUAAAAUCAAUCCAGGAAACCCAGUGCUGGGGGGAGGUGGGACUGGUGGAGCACAUUUCAAGACCCAAAGGAACAACAGGCCCAUACAGCCAUUCAUGUCACCAUCUAGUGGGAUAGGAAAGGCAGACUGCCAAGGGACCAGGGACAGCAGCUGAGAAUUUGUACCACUCCAACUCCUCAAUCUAGCUCUCCCCACCAGUGUUCCAAAGCUGACAACUACUUCAUCAGCUCUCUUCAGAAACCCUAACUACUACUACAGACCCACCACAGAAGAGAAUAUCCAAGUGAUUUCAAUCACUGGGUGCUGUUCUACCAAAGUAUUUAGCAAUCAAGAUACUCUGACUCUUCCUUAUAUAAUAAAUGGCCAGCUAUUAAUGAUAUUUGCCCUAAUGCUUAAUUUUUCUUUAUCCUACACAGAAACCCUUGGGGUAUGAGGAUGUCUUUGGAUCAAACUCAAUCUAUUGAGAAUUAUUCUAUCAGCUUGAAAUGAGGUCAUGAGAACACUUCUACCCUCCCCGCAACCCAAGACACAAAUAUCUGGUGGGGAUAUUAUAUAUGUUCAUAAAGACUUAUUUGAAAGUAUAGACAGGGGGGCCCAGAAAUAAAGCAUUAAGCCAGUAUGGAUUCCCUCCCAGUCAGGGGACGGGCGUAGUCAUGAACACCCCUAACCAAACACCAAGCUGCUAAGGGUGCUGAAGUCCAGUCUGGGCUUUGAUCCUUGGUUUAUUGACUUCUUCUGAAGAAGAGAUUUUUAAUUCUGCCUCUCAAUCCAAAAGGAGGCAGAGUUGGAGACAUCAAAGAGGACAGAGGAAUGGCUGGUCUGAUUUCAGGGUGAAACUUUUUCACCCUCCUAGGUCAACCAGACUGGUGGCCUUAACUUGUCAAAGAGAAAGUGAGGACAAAAUCUCUAGGUAUAAAGCCAAGUGUGGCUUCAUGGCAUGAAGGCAAUCUCUAUACCUCAAGAAGAAAGGGUGAGAAAUGCAAAAGCCAUGCCCCAAACCCUCCUCUCCAUCGCCAGGAGCAAUGUCUUAAGGAAGAGGAAAAGGCCACCUGCCACUUCCGCUUAUGAGAACAAACGCACAAAGCUCAUGAGAAUAAUUCUUCCUUCUCCACUGACACAGAGCUGGUGAUAGGAUGGGGAUCUCAAGACAAGUCUCCUCACUUUGGGCCUUAGGAGCCCCCAAAAACAAACAGAUAAAGUUGAAAGACAUCACAAAAAAUACGUCCAUAUUUGGUUUGGGCACUUAGUGUUAUAGGCUAAUUCUAGAAGAAGCAAGGAAGGCUAGCUAAGAAGACCUCUUCCAAGAUCCCAUUUGCCAAGACCUCACCUCACAGUCUUUCUUCAACAACUCAAUUACCCUCCCACACCUGCCCCCCCAAGAUAAUUUUGAUUGCCACCACUCCCCGGCUUCCUCCACCUCAGAGCAAUCACUCCUCUUCCUUUUCCGGGGACAGUCCUCAACUUGUGCACUGUACCCUUAGGGGUAACAAAGUUAUCAUGUGCCCCAAAGAGAAAGGGAAGGCUUGAUGUCCUCUGGCUUUGGUCUUACUGUCAUCUCCCAGAAUCCCCACCUUCUACUCCAUGACGGAUCUCUCUAUUCCCCUUCCAACCUUACAGACACCUGGCAAAAGAAUGUGACCUCCUCUCUAGGCUCUGGCUCUCUAACUCCCCUUCCUGAAACACCUGGCCCACUGGUUACCUUAGUCAGCCUGGAUCUGGACACUAACACAGCUCCUUGGCCCUCUCCCCAGAGCAACAAGCGCAGCCCCUUGGGGCUCCAACCUCUGGCCUGCAGGAGCUGGCUCCCUCUAUUUUGGAGAAGACAGAAAUGCAGAGCUGGGUGGAGAAGCCCCAUUGAGAACACGUACCCUUCCCAGCGGGAGCAGUGCGGGUAUACUCAGGGGGCCGCUCCACAUUCCCGCCCAUCUCUCCCUGACUCCUUCUUACUGCUCCCCAGUGAUCCCUGCGAUGCCCCCGAAGCUCUUUUACAUGCAAGCAAAGCAAGCCCAAGAUUAGCCAUUACUUUUUCUUAUGUUUCUCUACAUAGUAAUAAAAUGUACUUUAUG